GAUGAACGCUGGCGGCGUGCCUAAUACAUGCAAGUCGAGCGAACAGACGAGGAGCUUGCUCCUCUGACGUUAGCGGCGGACGGGUGAGUAACACGUGGAUAACCUACCUAUAAGACUGGGAUAACUUCGGGAAACCGGAGCUAAUACCGGAUAAUAUAUUGAACCGCAUGGUUCAAUAGUGAAAGACGGUUUUGCUGUCACUUAUCGAUGGAUCCGCGCCGCAUUAGCUAGUUGGUAAGGUAACGGCUUACCAAGGCAACGAUGCGUAGCCGACCUGAGAGGGUGAUCGGCCACACUGGAACGGAGACACGGUCCAGACUCCUACGGGAGGCAGCAGUAGGGAAUCUUCCGCAAUGGGCGAAAGCCUGACGGAGCAACGCCGCGUGAGUGAUGAAGGUCUUCGGAUCGUAAAACUCUGUUAUUAGGGAAGAACAAAUGUGUAAGUAACUAUGCACGUCUUGACGGUACCUAAUCAGAAAGCCACGGCUAACUACGUG
rnacentral:rRNA from 1 species